rnacentral:misc_RNA from 1 species
ACGUUUGCCAGGGUAAGAGUGGCCAGGCACCGGCACACCUAGUGCCAGCAGUCGAGGGGAGGACUCCUGUAGAGAGGGUGGGCACAUCUAUCACAAGCUGGUGCAGAAGAUUCUGUUGGCACUGAAGGGGUGCUGCUGCAGCAGGUGAAGGCAGGAAAAGUGGAGGUACCUUGCAAUUUGUUAAUAAUACUUGGCACAAUCAGGUAGCCCCAUCAAUCACCAAUGGGGGACUCAAAGAAACAGAUAGUGCUGGAAUUUCAGCAGGUGCAAGAACACCUCCAAACACUAACUGCUGAUAGAGAUCUCUUAAAGCUGGAAUUUGAGAGGCUUGCUAACAGCAGCCACCGCCUUCUACAGCAGAUAAAAGAAGACAGUUCUCAUGCGAGUGAGAGGAAAUUCCACAAUUUUGAGGCAGAGAAGCGUAGGCUGGAGGAAAGAUUGGAAGCACUGGAGCAGGAUAUCAAGGAGAAGGACAGGAAGAUUGCUCAUUUAGAUGCAAAGGCUGGUGAUUAUUUACAGCAAGUUAACCAACCUAGUAAUAGCCAGCUUGAGGAUAAAAAAUUGAGUGAUGAUAUUGUUUGUAGUGAUGUUGCUAGUGCAGUUAGUGUUGGGGAAGUGAAAGAGGUUGGGGAUAGUGCUGGAGUUGGAGGCAAAGAGAAAAUGAAGUGCAGUGAUGAUUGUCUCAGGGAACUGGUUGAUGUGGCUAGUAUGGAGGAAAACAAAAGAGAAAUUGAAGUUGAGCUUAAAUCUAAUGACAUAUCUCCUGGGGAAAAACUUUCCAGUGAAAAUAUGAUGGAUGAUAUAAGGGUGUCCGAGAAGCUAGGUGAACAAAGUGAGGAUAUUAUUGCUCGAACCGGUAAUGGUGAGAUGAGUAAUGAUGAAGGAAGUGAUGAGGAAAAUAUUGAAAAGAAUGAAAUGAUUAGAGCUUUGGUGGAUGAGGCAUUGAAAGAACUAAAGGAGGAGGACAUGAAAGCAAGUUUAGCAAAGAAUGAGAAUGGAGGUGUACUUGAAGGGUCCCAAAAGGAUUUAGAAGAGAAGAAAUCAUGUGAGGGAAAUGGUGAGCAGGAACCUUUACCAGAUUUAAAGAUACAGGUAAUUGUAAAGGAAAGAAAUACAGCUUUUGAAGAAGGACAAACUACUGCAUUGGGGGAGAUUGUUGGUCAAGAAGAAAGAAAGAAACUAGGAGACACAGUGCUAUCAGCAUUCACAACCUGUGAGCAAGAAUUAAAAGAAACUACCAAUGAACUUCAUGGUAUUGUUUCCUCAUUUCCUGUGGAUAUUCCCAAAGAAAGACCUGAUGAUAGCAUAUCAGGUAAGCAGGCAAAUAGUAAUGGAUCACCUGUCCGUGAUCAGAUCUCAUCUUUGUCAGUGCUUGUGGCUGAACUGCGUCGUGUUAAGGAUGACAUGGGAAAAUGCAUGUCUGUUAAAGAACAGUCCUUCAUUGAAUUGGAAGACCAACUUCAAGCUGCUAAUAAAGAAGUAAAUAAUCUGAAGGCAUCCAUGUCAUUACUAUCUAAAGAUCUUCAGGAAAAGAAUCAAAGUUAUCAGUAUUUAGAAGAGGAGAAUAAGAAAAAGAAAAUGGAUAUAGAGCACAAGAUGAGUGAGAUUCAGGAAGUCACAAACAAGUGCUCCAUGUUAGCUGAAGAAAAAGCAGAUGUUUUACGUAAAAUGGAAGUGCUGGAAAUAAUGAUGACAGAGUACCGCACUGAGAUUGAGAUGCUUAUUGGAGAGAAAGCAAAGAUGGAGGAAAAGACGAAGGAACUACUUUCUGCAAAGGCUGCCACAUCUGCAGCAGAAGCAGAAAUAGAUUCUAGGACUAGCUUGGAAGAAAAAGAAAAAGAAAUAGAAGAAUUAACAGGAAAGGUUCAAGAUAUGGAAAAGCAAAUGAAAGAACUGAACGACAAAUUAAAAGUCACAAAUAAACACCUAAAAGUGAUGGCAAGAGAACGUGAGCACAAGCAGAAAGAAUGUGAAGCUCUGAGACGCAAAGUUGAAACAGUUGAACUCAAAAUGUGUGAACUUCAGGGAACAUUUGACAUGCUUGUGAAAGCUGUCAUGGUGGAAAGAGAUGAUCUAAUCAAGGAUUUAGAAGAAAAGACAGGAGAAAUAGAUGAACUUCACAAAACUCUUGGCCAGCUUAAAGAAACUCAUGAACAGGAACUAGACAAGGUACUGAUUGAGAAAAAAUCAAUUGAUGAAGAGCUCCGUAAAUUCAGAUCAGGGGAUCUGAGACCUUCUGGAGCAAUGUUUGUAGAUAAAGAGGAGUUGAACGCAGUUGUCCGUGAAAAGGAAAGACUUGAGACAGAAGUUAGGCAAAGAACAGAGCAGAUACAAACACUUGAAUUUAAAGUGAAAACCAUUCAGAUGGAAAUGGAUGACUUUGUUGGGUCCUUGAAGGAAGAAAUGGCUCGCCUCAAGGAGGAGAGUGCAAAGUCUAAGGAAGAAAAGAAAAACUUGGAAGAUGUCUUUGCCUCACUGCAGUCUGAACACAAGACCCUAAAAGAAAAGAGCAAAGAGACACAGAAAAUACUUGCACAACUUGAGGCUGCCAAUAAAGAAAAAUCAGAAAACUUUGAAGCACAAAAACAACAACUCCAUGAUUUGCAACAACAGCUUGAGGACCUAAAUGCCAAAAAUUUCAAUCUAAACACAGAUAUGUACAACAAGGAGAAGGAAUUUAGAGAUGAGUUGACAGCCCGUGAAAGGACCAUACAGGAAUUAAACUUGACUCUAACUAAUAAUCAGAAGCAGUCCAUGGAGAAUUAUGGGGCACUGCAAGAAGAAAUGAGUACCUUGGAGACUAGGCUGAAGACAUCUCUGGAAGAAAGUAAUAAGCAAGCAAAGGAACUUGAGGAAAAGCUAAAAGUUUCUCAAGAGGAAAAGAAAAUGGAGGUUCUGGAACUUCAGGCAAAACUGAGGACUCUAAUGGAUGAAAUAAAGGAAGCAAAGUCAGAGUCGUUCUCACUUUCUCAAGAUGCUGAAGUGCCGUCAUCAUCUCUGGCUUUUGUACCUUCACUGCCUUUGGACUCCAGUGACUCAACAUCAGUGUUCCAUUCUGUGGUCACAGAGACAGAUCAAAGAGCAGUUGAUCAUCAUGCUAAGCAGCAACUAGAGACUCUCAGAAAAAGAGUAAAGGAUUUGGAAGAAGAGUUAGAGGGAAUGCGCAAGGAUUUAGAGGUUAAGGAAGAUGAAAUAAAAAACCAUAAGGAAACGGAUAUUCCUUGUUUACAAGGAAAAAUAAAAGAGCUCACCACAGAAGUAGAAACUCUCAGAGGCAAGCCCUCAGAGGGUGAAACAUUUAAAGAUCAUGCUGAGUUUGAAGCAGUCAUUGCUGCCAAGGAGGAAAAGAUACGCCAGUUGGAUUCCAAAGUCAGUGAUUUAGAAAUGUGCUUAGCAAACAAGAGUGGAUAUAUUUCCCAGCUGGAAGGACGCCUAGGCAGUUCACCAGAAGUGAAAAAUGAUGUGGAAUCCCAUCUGGGACAAAUAAAUAAACUCAGCACAGAUAUUUCUAAGCUGAAAGAUGAGCUGGAAAAGACAAAUGAAGAGUGUAAAACUUUGAAGAGUACAGUUGAUCAGCUUGAGAUGGACAAACACAGAUUUGAAGAAGAGAAGGCAAAGAUCAUUGAAGAAUAUGAGGCAAAGUUGCAUGAAGCAAAUGAAAAAAUAAGGGAAAUAAAUGAUGAACUAGAACAAAAAAAAAACUUGGCUGAAAGAUUAGAAUUGGAACUUAGCAGUAGUGAGAGUAGUCAUGUAGAUGAGGUUGCCAGAUUAGAGAGCAACCAUGUAGGUAGAGUAGCAGAUGUAGUUAAGCUUCAUAAACGUAAGAUUGAACAGCUGAAGAAGAGUAAUGCGGAGAAGGUCAGCGAUCUACACGACCAUAUUGAUGAACUUUACAAAGAGAAAAAAUCAUUGGAAGAACGCCUUAACAUUAUAAAACUUGACCUUGAUGAGAAAGUUUCUAAGUCAGAGAGAGAUCUAAUUAAGGAAAAACAGGAACUUUUCUCCAAAAUUGAGAAUCUGGAGAAAAAGGUGAAUUGUUUGGAAAGGGAGAAAAUGCAAAUAGAGAAAGAAAAGGCAGAACUUAAAGAAAGGUUUGAGGAUGAACAAGAAGAGGCGACUAACAUGCAAACACAAAUGGUGACAGACCUAGAAAAACUGAUUCUGAAUUUGGAAUCUGAGAAGAGGAAUUUGGAAAAAGAAGUACUCCAGCUAAAAGCAUCUGGGGAUCUAAAUGCUGGUCUCAUAGUGGACAGUGAGAAAAAAAUUGCCCUUCUUGAAGAUGAAAUUGUCAUUACCAAUAAGGAAAAAGAAAUUUUGAUGGAUGAAAUAAAAAAGUUAAAAGAAAUAAUUGGUGAAGAAACCAUUUCAAGAAUCAGGGAAGAGAGUGAGAAAUCAAAAGUUCUAGAAGAAAUGGCUGAGAAGGUGAAGAAGCUUCAGGCCAGGCUUGAAGAAUCUCAGAUAUCUAUAGAAGAGCAAGAGCAGAUCUAUGCACACAAGUUAAUGGAGGAGAAAUCUGAUCAUAUGAUGCAGCUCAAGGCCCUAAGGACUGAGCUGUCAGAGGAAGUGAAUGAAAUAGAUCUGAGAAAAGAGCAAGUGUCCCUGGAAUAUGAAGACAAAAUUGCUCUGAUAAUAACAGAAUAUGAAGACCGCCUCACUUCUACGAGAGAGCAGUUUGAGGCUAGGAUCCUGGAGGAAAAGGCUGAGUUUGGCCGUGUUCUUAUUAGCAAGAUUGAUGAAUAUGAAGGAAAGUUAUCUUCGCAAGUAGAGGACUUAAAAGCUUUUGAAAGUCAGAUUGAAGUUCUUCAGAAUGAAUUAGAUGAAAAGAUUAAUAUAAUGGAGGAACUGGAACAUAAUCUAGAUGAAGUUACACUUAUGAAAGCUGCUCUUAGAGCUCAAGUUGAUGACUUAAAGCAUACUAUUACUAAAAUGAAUGAAAAUGGAGAAGACUCUUAUGUAGAUGUUCUUCAUUCCAAGUAUGAAACAAGACUUGCAGAAGUGCAGGAACAUUAUGAAAGUCAGCUGUCAUAUCUCCGUUCAUUCAUCUCUGCAGCAGAUGUAGAUGUUCAGAGAGCAGGAUGUAGUUCACCUUCGCAAGGAUCUGAGUAUUCUAUUGAACUUUCAUGUCUUCGUCCUUAUUUGCAAGGCCAGUCGUCUCCCAUUGCUGAGUUCAUGGCAGAACUCAAGUCACAGUCAGUGCUCGGGAGUGAUAAUGAAGUUCACACCUCUAACCAUAGCUUCCAUUUAAUGCGAUCUGCCUCCAUUGCAAAAAAUAAGGAAGAUACACGUUCUCAUUCAUCAGCCGAUGGAAAAAUUGGCAUUAGCUUUAAUGGACUAAGUGCCCACUUGAUGGCUAAAUCAUUAUCAAAAGGAAACAACAAAUGUCACUCAAAUGGUUCUAUAGCCCACAUCCUAUCUAAGUCAUUAUCAAGGUCAGAACAGUUAAGGCUGUCAGCUUUAGAUGGAAAAACUGAACCCCAGACAAUGGGUUCAAAGUCCCAUAUGCUAUCAGUUUCAUCAUCGGGAUUAGAAGAUCUGAAACAGAGCAAUACAGGGCCCACAUGUGAAUCAAAGCCAGAUUCUUGCACCUCUGACCAGCCAACCAGCAAGGCCAGUUGUGAACCCAAAGACACAGAUCUGAACCCAGAGAAUUCAAUUGUCUCUGCAACUGGGACUAAGCCUCGACCUCCCCGCCGUGGUGCCUCCAAGCCAAAGUCCUCCCCUGCUGGAGAACCAUCAUCAAUGAUCACUGUUGAUGAGUCCAGUACAGCUGCCACAGCCACCUCCAGCACCAAUCUGCCCUCUGACUCAGACCCCAGCAACACAACUCUUGACAAAGUGAAAGGAUUACGGUUAUUGAAGCGACUAUGGAAGAAACUACUUCGAAACUUGCGGCGUCGGAAGCUAAGUGUGCGGAACUGGAGGAAAGGCUCCAGCAGACCACGGCCUCCUGUGAGACCCUCACGCAGAAAAUAAAUGAGCUCACUGCCGAAAAUGACGACCUUACCCGACAAGUGGAAGACAUGGAGAAAGAGAAGGAGGGCACAGCCAAGACUAUAGCAAUGUUGGAGUUUAACAAUGAGCAUAACAAAGACAAGGUCCGAAACAUGGAACUUUCCAACGAUGACCUGAAGGAAACCAUAUCAUCCCUCAUGAAGGAGAAAGAGGAGCUCACAAGGCAGCUGAAAGAAGGUGCCUCUGGAGUGAUAGACCAGUACAUCAAAGAGAAAGAUGAAUUAGAGGAAAGAUUAACAAAGGAGAAGGAUGAACUACUGGAGAAGUAUGUUAAUGAAGACAAAGCCCUUAGAGAGCAGCUGGAAGGCCUCAUGGAGAU